AGUGAACGCUGGCGGUAGGCCUAACACAUGCAAGUCGAACGGCAGCACAGUAAGAGCUUGCUCUUACGGGUGGCGAGUGGCGGACGGGUGAGGAAUACAUCGGAAUCUACUUUUUCGUGGGGGAUAACGUAGGGAAACUUACGCUAAUACCGCAUACGACCUACGGGUGAAAGCAGGGGAUCUUCGGACCUUGCGCGAUUGAAUGAGCCGAUGUCGGAUUAGCUAGUUGGCGGGGUAGAGGCCCACCAAGGCGACGAUCCGUAGCUGGUCUGAGAGGAUGAUCAGCCACACUGGAACUGAGACACGGUCCAGACUCCUACGGGAGGCAGCAGUGGGGAAUAUUGGACAAUGGGCGCAAGCCUGAUCCAGCCAUACCGCGUGGGUGAAGAAGGCCUUCGGGUUGUAAAGCCCUUUUGUUGGGAAAGAAAAGCAGCAGGUUAAUACCCCGCUGUUCUGACGGUACCCAAAGAAUAGGCACCGGCUAACUUCGUG
rnacentral:rRNA from 1 species